AAUCAACGCUGGCGGCGUGCCUCAGACAUGCAAGUCGAACGCGAAAGUUUCCUUCGGGGGAUGAGUAGAGUGGCGCACGGGUGAGUAACACGUAGGUAAUCUACCUUUGGAUGGGGAAUAACAAUCGGAAACGGUUGCUAAUACCGCAUAAUGCAGCGGCACCUAAUGGUGACAGUUGUUAAAGCGGGGGAUCGAAAGACCUCGCGUCUGAAGAGGAGCCUGCGGCGGAUAGCUAGUUGGUAAGGUAACGGCUUACCAAGGCGACGAUCCGUAGCCGGCCUGAGAGGGCGGUCGGCCACACUGACACUGACAUACGGGUCAGACU
rnacentral:rRNA from 1 species